rnacentral:lncRNA from 1 species
GUUGUUUUUUCGGUUUGGUAUUAAAUGUUUAUUCCAAUUCAACGCUACAAUAGGGUCUUUAAAUAUUGUUUUUUAUUGGUAUGGUAUUGAUUUUGUAAUCAGUAAAUUAAAUCAAACUAAAUCGUAUUGUUUUUUUACAUAUGCACAUGCAUUGCUCUAUAACCAAAUACAUUGUACCUGUAUCUUGGCAUUGGACAGGGUUAUUUUUUUCUCUGAAUGUUAAUGACGUCUUUUACUCAAAAUCCAUGCACUUUGGAUGUGUACUGAUUGAUAUUUAGGUCUUAAAUAUAUACAUGACUUUUUUAUAAGUUGAUUGCUUUGAUCUAGCUGUCAGUAACAGUUAGUACUCUCAUAUUUGUACUCAGUGUAUUUUUGUUGUUGGGAUGUAAAGAUACCCGUCCACGUUCACUCUGUGAUUUUGUAAGAUGUAUUUCUAUUUGUAUUCAUCUGAUGAGAUACAUGUAAGCCUUUUUCAACUGAUGUGUUAUAGUUUGUUCUUAUGUUGUACUGUUAUACCACUGUUCCUUGUUAGGGGACUAACGAUCCACUACAGAAACUCUAGCAACAAAAGAUGAUAAUAUUGGAGAUAAUAUUUACCGAUAGUUUAAUAGUUGUUCCCAAAAGCAUUAUUGCUGUUAAAAUCAAUCGGGUCCAGGACCAAUCCAGUAUAUCUUAUCAUAAUCCUUCGUUUUUAAAUCAAUUUCCUAUAUGCAUACAUUUAGAGUAAUUAAGAGCUGGUAAACUCAGUGUAUGAUAAAUAUUUCUGCUUAUGGAAUACAUUCUUCUGCAUUUAUUUCCAUAUUUUUCUAGAAAUUCACAAUUGCAUGUUUGUAGUUUGAUAAUGGUGUGUAUAUUAAAAAAAAGGUGUGUCGGUUACGGUCAUGUAGACAUAGGCCUAUCCUCAUCAGGUAUCCCUAGCCUACAUGUUUCCUCCUUUGUAAUAUGUAGAAUAGUUCAAAUUUGAUUUAUCUUAUAGGGAUACGACACCUGUUUAUACAAUCGUGUUUUAUCUUAUAGGGAUACGACACCUGUUUACACAAUCGUGUUUUAUCUUAUAGGGAUACGACACCUGUUUACACAAUCGUGUUUUAUCUUAUAGGGAUACGACACCUGUUUACACAAUCG